rnacentral:misc_RNA from 1 species
GAAAUGCGAUAAGUAAUGUGAAUUGCAGAAUUCAGUGAAUCAUCGAAUCUUUGAACGCACAUUGCGCCCCUUGGUAUUCCGGGGGGCAUGCCUGUUCGAGCGUCAUUAUAACCCUCAAGCUCAGCUUGGUGUUGGGGCAUGCCAGUAGGCAGCUCUUAAAAUCAGUGGCAGUGCCCUCUGGCUCUAAGCGUAGUAAUUCUUCUCGCUAUAGGGUCCGGAGGUGCUCGCGCCAGAACCCCCAAUUUUCUAUGGUUGACCUCGGAUCAGGUAGGGAUACCCGCUGAACUUAA